rnacentral:misc_RNA from 1 species
CGCACCUUGCGCCCUCUGGUAUUCCGGAGGGCAUGCCUGUUUGAGUGUCAUUAAAUUCUCAACUUUAUAAGUUUUUACUUAUUAAAGCUUGGAUGUUGGAGGCUUGCAGGCGUUUGUCAGCUCCUCUUAAAUUUAUUAGUGGGAACCCUGUUUUGUUAGUUCUAACCUUGGUGUGAUAAUUAUCUACAUUUUGGUGGAACCUUACAAUAAUAAAGCUCUAUUGGUUUGGGUUGUUGCAUUUAGUUUGCUCAAUCUGUUCUAUUCAUUGGAGAAAAAGGGAAGUUCCGCUUUCUAACUGUCUUGAUUGACUAUAUAUAACUUAUUUGCUUGACCUCAAAUCAGGUAGGAUUACCCGCUGAACUUAA